rnacentral:rRNA from 1 species
AGAGAUCGAGAGGAACACUCGUGGCGAAGGCGAGUCACUGGACAGUAUCUGACGCUGAGGCACGAAGGCCAGGGUAGCGAAAGGGAUUAGAUACCCCUGUAGUCCUGGCAGUAAACGGUGUGCGCUUGGUGUGAGGGGAUUCGACCCCCCUUGUGCCGGAGCUAACGCGUUAAGCGCACCGCCUGGGAAGUACGGCCGCAAGGCUAAAACUCAAAGAAAUUGACGGGGACCCGCACAAGCGGUGGAGUAUGUGGCUUAAUUCGAUGCAACGCGAAGAACCUUACCAAGGCUUGACAUGCAUCUCUAAGCGCGUGAAAGCGCGUGACCCUUCGGGGGAUUUGCACAGGUGCUGCAUGGCCGUCGUCAGCUCGUGUCGUGAGAUGUUGGGUUAAGUCCCGCAACGAGCGCAACCCUUGUGACUAGUUGCCAGCACGUCAUGGUGGGAACUCUAGUCAGACUGCCCAGAUCAACUGGGAGGAAGGUGGGGACGACGUCAGGUCAGUAUGGCCCUUACGCCUUGGGCUGCACACGUACUACAAUGCCCAGCACAAUGAGAACCGAGACCGCGAGGUGGAGGAAAUCUGCAAAACUGGGCCCAGUUCGGAUUGGAGGCUGCAACUCGCCUCCAUGAAGCCGGAAUCGCUAGUAAUGACGCAUCAGCUACGGCGUCGUGAAUACGUUCCCGGGUCUUGUACACACCGCCCGUCACAUCAUGGAAGCCGGUCGCACCCGAAGUGCCUGAGCCAACCCGCAAGG